UUAGCUAUUGAUCUUUAACGCUUGCACUAUAAAUUAUAUUUAUUUUCUUUUAAUUCACAUGUGGACUAACUUAAUGGUUAAAACGUGUUGUGUUGGGAAAAUUAAAGGUUUGAAAUGUGAUAUUGGAUGGUUUGCUAACAUUGGUUGCUAAUAUGGUAACUGAUAAUUAGCUGGUGUGGAAUAAAUCAGGCGGCACUUUACUGAUGUGAAGUUUGAAAGCUAUUUUCUGAACAUAAAAGAAAGAAAGUCUGACAGGAUUUGUGCAAGGAUACUGAAACACCACGGAUGGAUUGACGUAGAGCUAGUACUGGUAGUGGGGCAAAAGUGGAUGCUGCUAGUAACAGGUAUCGGAGGGGGCAAGGCAAGGGCUAGCUAGCAUAGAGGCGAUUUUAAACUUCAGCGCUUCAAACGUAAGCAGUUCUGCGUCAAAUCAUGGAAAUCAGACCAUCCGCCACCCUCGUACAUGAUAAAGAAUAGCACCAGUAAAAGCAAGCAGUAUCCCACUGUUUUGUGUUGGCUCGAUGAAAGGUGAUAGAAACGAAUUUCCGAAUCACAUUAUGUCGGCUUGGUUGUUGUUGUGGCCAGUCAAUAGACAAGCUUUGAACCGUAGUUCCAUGUAAGUGUCGUGGUUUUCACUGUUUCAGUAUGUAGUUGAAUAUGGUAGAUCUGGGCAACUGGUCAACGCUGUCGUGUUUUGUCUCGGUAGACCUCGUAUGACGGUGUGUUGGGAAAAUACCGGCAGUUGUUUCAGAUGGAGGGUGCGACGUGCCAGAUGUACGCUGUUCGAGGGAUAAAACUGCCACGCACGAGAUUUUGUAGGCAAUGGUAAUUGGUGACGAUACCAUGACGUUUGAAAAGAAGAUUCAAAGUUUGAGUUUUAUGUGGCAGAGUAGAACAGCUGCGUGUGAAGUGUGGCGACUACCAAGGUAUCAACACCAGUUAUGGCUACGGGAUUUUAAAAGUACCUUCAAUGCACUGGGAACUAACGUGCUCUCCCCCUCUCUCUCUCUCUUCUCUCUUCGUCAGGGCCCAGGUCUUGUGGCCACAUCUGUCCAAGCUCCUACUCUGAUUGAACAGUUGGAUGAUCAGACUGAUGAUGAAAAGUGCUACACAGUUCUCACACAUCUUCUGACUCCGAAGCCGCUGCAGUGUAAAAUCUGAGAUGUCUUUUCUGGUUGAUUUUGUGCAGAUUUCUGACAGCGACAGCGAUGGUGAGGGAAGCAGUGUACCGAACUCUCAGAUGACUCGGACCAGGUGACCAAACCCAUGCAAAGCACAAUGACUGUGCUGAGGCGUUCCGCCCCCCUCCCCCUCCACACCACUCAAGGCACGGCGGCGGCCCAACCGCAAACUAACGGAGAUUAACAUGAGGCUGGAUGCGCUUGGCUCCCUGCUGCGUCCAUCACCAGAGGGGCCGGGAUUGCUGCGGCAGCUAGCCAAUUAAAGGAGGAGGAUGAAGGAGAGGAGUCUGACGAUGCCGACAUCGCCAUCGUAUGCAGUCCACGCCCUCGCAGGAAAACCAGCCAAUGAAAACGCUUGCAGCAGCAUCAGCAGAACACACCGGCACGACUGACAGAGCUUCUGAAGCAUGCAGUGGAAGACCUGUCAGUCAAGCUAAAGGUCCCGCCCUCCAACCUGCUGCUGCUGCACGGAGAGGCGGAACUUAACACCUCACACACUAUUGGCCAGCUAGGACUCUGCAUCGCUGACAUCUUUGGUAGGAAUGUGUGUGUGUGUGUGUGUGUGUGUUUGCGUUUGGGUGUGUUUGCGUGUGGGUCUGUGUUGGUGCAAGUCAGUCUUGGCUCCUUCCUGAUAUUAUACUGUAUAAGUUCAUACGUAUACCGCAUUGCAAAAUGAAUUUCAUAUACAGUAUAUCACGAAAGUGAAUACACACCACAGUUUUUGCAGAUUUUUGAUUAUACAUUUUCAUAGGAAAGCAUUACAGAAAUUUCACUUUGACACAAUGAUUAGUGACCUUUUAACAACUUAUUUAACCGCUUAAAUUUCUUGCGUCAGCAUGACAGUCAUGAAGUAACGAAGAUGGUUGACAGUUCUUAUGUUCACUGUCCCUGGGUCGCUACAGUAUGCUCAAAAUUCAUCAUUUAAAGACGGUUUUAGCUAAAUUUUCUCCCAUGGGAGAC